AUGUUUCAUGAGGUAGCUGUGGAUGGUACUUCUGCUUACGUACCUGGGACAGCAGAUGAUACAGAGGCAAACGACGACGAUGAUGAUGAGGAUGGCAGCCCAAUGAGUACCAGUACCCGCAAGAGGGGUGCCAGCUCGGUUGAUUUUAGGAGUACAGCAAGUAGUCCUUUAAAGAAAAUCAAAAUGAACAUGGAGAAUGGCAAAACUAAGGGUCCAUUUUUGAGGACUUUGAAGGAGAUCACCACCAGAAUGGACAAGGAAGCUGAGACAUCAAACACUAUAUUGCAGGCAAUUGUCGACCAAGGCAAAGAAAAGGCAAAGAGAAGUGAGGAGCGUAAGGUAGCAGUAGCUACAUGUCAGCAACUUACCAUUGAGUGUGGGGCAGCAGAGGAGUCAAUUGAGUACUUUGUAGCCUGUGACUUAUUCAAGGACAAACACAACAGGUUUGUCUUCCAGAACAUGAAGACCCCUGAAGCUAGGCUCAUAUGGUUGAAGAGAUGGUGCAAAGCAAAGAAGAUGUAUGACGAAGAUGAGUCUUAG
rnacentral:rRNA from 1 species